rnacentral:rRNA from 1 species
GGAAUAUUGGUCAAUGGCCGGGAGGCUGAACCAGCCAUGCCGCGUGCGGGAGGACGGCCCUAUGGGUUGUAAACCGCUUUUUUGUGGGAGCAAUAAGUUGCACGUGUGCAAUGAUGAGAGUACCAUGAGAAUAAGCAUCGGCUAACUCCGUGCCAGCAGCCGCGGUAAUACGGAGGAUGCGAGCGUUAUCCGGAUUUAUUGGGUUUAAAGGGUGCGUAGGCGGAUUUUUAAGCGUGAGGUGAAAUGCCGGGGCUCAACCUCGGGACUGCCUCGCGAACUGGGAGUCUUGAAUGCCCCUGCCGUGGGAGGAAUGUGUGGUGUAGCGGUGAAAUGCAUAGAGAUCACACAGAACACCGAUUGCGAAGGCAUCUCACGAAGGGGUGAUUGACGCUGAGGCACGAAAGCGUGGGGAUCAAACA